rnacentral:snRNA from 1 species
GUGCUCACUUCAGCAGCACAUAUACUAAAACUGGAAUGACACAGAGAUUAGAAUGUCCCUGCACAAGGAUGACAUACAAAUCCAGGAGGCAUUCCAUCAUUUU